GGGGCGCCGCCCCUCGGCAGGGCGGGAGAUUCGGUGUGCCGGGCGCAGGCCUCGCGUCGCCUGCGGCCUGGGGGUCCCGCGUGCAGUAGCCGUGGCUUCCGGAGAGGCCCGAGCCGGCGAGAGCCGGUGUGGCGGUACGUGAGGGUGUCAGCGCAGCCGUUUCUCUGGGCGCGCGGCUGCUGAGGUGACUCUGAAUUUUUCCAGCUGCAGAAUGCAUAGCACCUUAAAAGGUUGGCCAUGAUGAGUAAACUGGAAUUAAAGGAAGCUAAGAUGCUGGAGGUUCAAUUCGUGGGAGAUGAUGAUGUUCUUAAUCACAUUCUUGAUAGAGAAGGAGGUACUGAGUAA